AUUUCUCAAGUUGUUUUAAAGAGAUGUACUUAUAGGAAGAGCAUUAUUAGUCAGAGACCAAGAUUAAAAACACAAUGGAUUUUCAUGUGCAGAUUAUCAGCUUCCUGCUAAUCAGUGUCACAGUCAUAGUGUGCAAUGGAGAAAUUGUGCUCAGCCAGUCUCCAACAACCAUGGCUGCAUCUCCAGGGGAGAAGGUCACUAUCACCUGCAGUGCCAGCUCAAGUGUAGUUAACAUGUACUGGUACCAACAGAAGUCAGGAACCUCCCCCAAACUCUGGAUUUAUAGGACUUCCGACCUGGCUUCUGGAGUUCCAGCUCGCUUCAGUGGCAGUGGAUCUGGGACCUCUUACUCUCUUACAAUCAGCAACAUGGAGGCUGAAGAUGCUGCCACUUAUUACUGCCAGCAGCUUACUAGUUACCCAUCCACACAGUGUUACAGACUAGAACAAGAACCCUUUAAUUCCCUGGGGCCUAGCUAG